rnacentral:rRNA from 1 species
UACGAAGGGGGCUAGCGUUGCUCGGGAUCACUGGGCGUAAAGCGCACGUAGGCGGAUUGCUAAGUCAGGGGUGAAAUCCUGGAGCUCAACUCCAGAACUGCCUUUGAUACUGGCGAUCUUGAGUCCGGGAGAGGUGAGUGGAACUGCGAGUGUAGAGGUGAAAUUCGUAGAGAUCGGGAGGAACAUCAGUGGCGAAGGCGGCCCUCUGGACCAGUACUGACGCUGAGGCACGAAAGCGUGGGGAGCAAACAGG